rnacentral:lncRNA from 1 species
AUGUGUCACAAAGCUGGAGGCCGCACCUGGCCUGGCCCCUCUCACCCACUCUCAAUCUCCUAGCAAGUGCCACACACAAGGCCUGUGUCCUUGUCCAUUGGUUCUUGCAUGACAAUCAGAGGGACAUCGAUCAUCCCUUUCAAGUGACGCUGCAGAUGGAAUUCUACACUGGGACAAAUGAGGUCUCAGACAUUCCCUUCCAUUUCUGAGUGCACUUUGGCCAUUGUUUGGUCAUUGACAGCCGUGUGUGGCCUGGACGUAUGAGAGGAGCUGCAACAAUGGGUUCUUUGAGAAUGGCAAACCAUUUGAUCUGAGCAUCUUGGUGCUGGACAAUGAAUACAAGGUAAUAAUAAAUGGCCAACACUGUUACAUCUUUGCCCAUCUACUUCAACCAUAUUCUGUGAAGAUAAUGCAAGUGUGGAGAGAUGUCUCCCUGACCUCAAUGUCUGUCUGCAAUUGAGGGAGAUGA